rnacentral:rRNA from 1 species
CAGUCGCCGCGGGAAUACGUAGGUCCCGAGCGUUGUCCGGAUUUAUUGGGCGUAAAGCGAGCGCAGGCGGUUAGAUAAGUCUGAAGUUAAAGGCUGUGGCUUAACCAUAGUACGCUUUGGAAACUGUUAAACUUGAGUGCAGGAGAGAAAAGUGGAAUUCCUAGUGUAGCGGUGAAAUGCGUAGAUAUAUGGAGGAACACCGGUGGCGAAAGCGGCUCUCUGGCUUGUAACUGACGCUGAGGCUCGAAAGCGUGGGGAGCAAACAGGAUUAGAUACCCCAGUAGUCCCUGUCUCUUAUACA